GACGAACGCUGGCGGCGCGCCUAACACAUGCAAGUCGAACGGAGCGUACUGUGUGAAGCCCUUCGGGGUAGAACUUUGUAUUGCCUGGUGGCGAACGGGUGAGUAACACGUGAGCAACCUACCCUAGAGCGGGGGACAACAUCUGGAAACGGAUGCUAAUACCGCAUAAGACCACGAGGUCACAUGACCUUGAGGCCAAAGGACUUAUUCGCUUUAGGAUGGGCUCGCGUCUGAUUAGCUAGUUGGCAAGGUAAUGGCUUACCAAGGCGACGAUCAGUAGCCGACCUGAGAGGGUGACCGGCCACAUUGGGACUGAGACACGGCCCAAACUCCUACGGGAGGCAGCAGUGGGGAAUAUUGCACAGUGGGGGAAACCCUGAUGCAGCGACGCCGCGUGAAGGAAGAAGUAUUUCGGUAUGUAAACUUCUAUCAGCAGGGAAGAAAAUGACGGUACCUGACUAAGAAGCCCCGGCUAAUUACGUGCCAGCCGCCGCCGUAAGAC
rnacentral:rRNA from 1 species